UUUGUAUGUUAUAAUUAUAAAUUUAGUCUCAAAUUACACGUUUUUAUAUGUCAUAAAUUAUUUACGAUCACAAUUUACCAAAUUAUUCUCUUAUCCCUCUGUAACAAAUAUUUGCCAAGUGGGGAGGGGGUUGGGAAGCCCAGUUGAUGAGAUAUAUAUACACACAUACAGAUCACAAUGUAAAAUAUCGUGUUUCUCUGUGUACUUCACUACGAUAAAAGUUCUAAAAAUCCAAACCCACAUCGACAAAUAAAAAAUUGAAGAUCUGUCAAUUUCAUAAUCAAAACCAACCACUUUCUCAAAAUAGCUGCCAUUUUUUAUAAAUUCACCAAAUAGUUCUUUGCUUUUGGUAAUAACUCUUCUUUGUUUUUGGUGCGGCAAAAGAUCUGAUUCUGGUAAUUUGUAGACUAUUAUGGGGAAAAAACAAGGAGAGACUGGACGCAGAUCUAUGGAGUAGAAGAUUGGCAAACGCCAUUGUUUCUCCUUAUUCAUGCUAUAGCCUUUUCAAUUCUUUCACUAAUCUUCCUGAGUUAGUGGGGGAACCACGAGCUUCAUCGCACUGCACACUGUUGCGACGGUGCUUGCGUAAUUCGAAAUAGUCAUUGGAGGUGAUUGCUACAGGAAUAUUUUUGGUGGUUGUUGUGUGGUAUAGAUGGUGAAUUGUUGAGUGUGGUGUUGGCGAAGUGGUGCCGGCCGUGUGGUGGCGACUGUGCUUCCUGGUGCUGACUGGAGAAAGGAGAGGUGGGAUAGAGAGAGAAGUUGUAUGGUAGAGAUGGUGAGGUUGUUGAGUGUGGUGGCGACGGUGCUUCCCGACGUUGGCUAGAGAGAGGAGAGGCGGGAUAGAGAGGAGAGAAAAUAGGAAUGGAUGAAACGUAUUACGAUUUUAGCGUGGGUGGUUGGGUAUGGGUCAGGUUGGAUAAAUGUGUAUAUUUAAUUUUGUAAUUAUAUUUUUAUUAGUUUUAAUUAUUAAAUUUAAUUAACACCUGAUUAUGGAAAAUGAAAC
rnacentral:lncRNA from 1 species